AUACGGAGGGUGCAAGCGUUAAUCGGAAUUACUGGGCGUAAAGCGUACGUAGGCGGUUCGUUAAGUUAGAUGUGAAAGCCCCGGGCUUAACCUGGGAACUGCAUUUAAAACUGGCGAAAUAGAGUUGAGUAGAGGGGAGUGGAAUUUCAGGUGUAGCGGUGAAAUGCGUAGAGAUCUGAAGGAACACCAGUGGCGAAGGCGACUCCCUGGACUCAAACUGACGCUGAGGUACGAAAGCGUGGGUAGCAAACGGGAUUAGAAACCCUAGUAGUCC
rnacentral:rRNA from 1 species